GACGAACGCUGGCGGCGUGCCUAACACAUGCAAGUCGAGCGGAGUCAGUAAGAGGAAGUUUUCGGAUGGAAUCUUAUUGAUUUAGCGGCGGACGGGUGAGUAACGCGUGAGCGACCAACCUUGCACAGGGGGAUAACGGACCGAAAGGUUCACUAAUACCGCAUGAGACCACGGUGUUGCAUGACACAGGGGUCAAAGGAGGAAUCCGGUGCAAGACGGGCUCGCGUCCGAUUAGGUAGUUGGAGGGGUAACGGCCCACCAAGCCUAUGAUCGGUAGCCGACCUGAGAGGGUGAUCGGCCACAUUGGAACUGAGAUACGGUCCAAACUCCUACGGGAGGCAGCAGUGGGGAAUAUUGGGCAAUGGGGGAAACCCUGACCCAGCAACGCCGCGUGAAGGAAGAAGGUUUUCGGAUUGUAAACUUCUGUCCUUGGUGAAGAGAAGAAGACGGUAGCCAAGGAGGAAGCCCCGGCUAACUACGUG
rnacentral:rRNA from 1 species